rnacentral:pre_miRNA from 1 species
UUUGGGGGAAAUAAUGGUCUGUUAGGUUAGGGAAAAAGACAUCAUCCCUUGAGAUAAAAUUAGGUUUGUUUCCUUUUACUCCCAAAAUCUUUUUACCAUGGGUAAAAUGAAUCAAUAUGAGGGUAUAAAAGGAACCAAAUUUAAAUUUAACUCAAGGGGUCUUGAUGUCGUUUUCCCCAACAGGACGGAUCACUAUUUUCCCCAAG